rnacentral:misc_RNA from 1 species
GUAGGUGAACCUGCGGAAGGAUCAUUAUCGAGUUAGGGUCCUCUGGGCCCCAUCUCCAACCAUUGCCUACCUUACCAUGUUGCUUCGGCGGGCCCGUCUCUAACCGGACCGCUGGGGAUCUCCCCGGCCCGUGCCCGUCAGUAGCCCCUCGAAAUUCUUGAAUAGUGAUGUCUAAGUCUAAACAUAAUAAGCAAAACUUUCAACAACGGAUCUCUUGGUUCUGGCAUCGAUGAAGAACGCAGCAUCUGAC